GACAGAGGUGCCAAGCGUUAGGCGGAAUCACUGGGCUUAAAGCGUGUGUAGGCGGAAUUGUAAGUACCUUGUGAAAUCCCACGGCUCAACCGUGGAACUGCUUGGUAUACUGCUUUUCUUGAGCCACUUAGGGGCUACCGGAACAAAUGGUGGAGCGGUGAAACGCGUAGAUAUCAUUUGGAACGCCAAUGGUGAAAACAGGUAGCUGGGAGUGUGCUGACGCUGAGACACGAAAGCCAGGGGAGCGAACGGG
rnacentral:rRNA from 1 species